UUGACAGGAUCUCAGAUUCAAGGUGUUUCCAGAAACUCGGGGACACCCUUAUUUUAGCUGGAGAAACCAUACUGUUUCCCAUUUAACACAUCACAAAAUGGUUCCAGAAAGAUUAGUUGUUUGAGCAGAUGGAUUUUCUGUGGUUUUCACAGUCCAUUUGGGUAGACUACAGAAGGGAAGAAACAAGCCAAGUAAGCAGCACAGGAAACAAGUACUGUUGACUCCCCUGCAGAACUUGUUGCAAACCUAGAAGAGCCCUGGCCCCUGGUUCCAGGUGUGGGGGAAACCUGGCUGAAAAGAACUUUUAUUUGAGAGUGUGCAGUGGUGAAUCCAGUGAAAGCUGGCCUGGCCUGGAACUGUAAAAUGAUGGCCCAAGUGGGUACUUGAGGGUGACAAAAGGA